UGAUUUAAAUAAGAAUUUGGUUCGUGCAAAGCAUGUGUCAGUUAUGUUAGGGUAAAAUCAGCAAAGUAGAUACGACUCUUCCUUUAGAUUUCUCUGAUUUGAUAGCAUAGUAACAAAAUCAGUCUUCUCCUCUAGUCUGCCAUUGGUACUAUUUGGACUUAAUCUUGGAGUUCUCUUCUCAAGUCACAAAACACAUUUGUGUUAAAAGGAAUCCAAAUUUCCCUCAGCACUGCUCAUCACUCAUCAAACCUGCUGGUCUGUUGGUUUGGCUCUUUUCAACUGUUGUUGAUGUUAAAAAACACAUUCUUUCUCGUUCUCUCAUCAAGGAGAUACCAUUGCAAUUUUAUGGGCAGAGUUGAAAAGUCAAAGGAAACAUGUCAACAAUUUGAAAAAGAAUUCCCUCUGGUCCAAGAUAUUAGAAGAGGUAACAGUGAAACUUGUGGACAUUGUGCAUUUCCUUCAUUUGGAAAUCCAUGCUGCAUUUGGCUGUGCUGAUAGAGAGAGAUCUAUGAAAAA